GCCAUAAAGGGCACUCUGUCCCACUGGCGCCCCCUGUGCUGCCUCCGACCACAGCAGAGGAAUCGGUCUUUCUUCCAUUCACGGAGCCCUGUGUUUGUGCCACUACGACGCAGAGGGCCAAAAUCCUAAACCUGGACCUUCCAUCAGCCCACGUCCCAACUUUCCGUCAGUCUGCUGGGGCAGUUGGUUGGCUCCUAGUAGCAGCAUGCUAUUUCCUCCAAAGAAGACAGAAUACAAAUGGGCACUAAACAACAACCUUCCACAAUUUGCUUCAUCAAGCUAAAGUGCUAACCAUUGGGAAAAACUGCCUUUCAUCUAAACCCCUGAAUAUCUCCAGACAGUGAACAGAAUCACUGGAAUCGACUGCCUAGCUGCUCAGGCCAAGCUUCAGGACCGAAGUCUCUGGAGCCUGGUGUGACCCUCUGAAUGCUGGCCUGCUUUGGACCAGAUACCCACGAGAUCAUGUGUGUUCUGUCUUCGUGAAAGGGAUUAGUAAUUUUACAAAUGGGGUGGCCAGAGGUGUCCUGGCUGCUGUCCACCAUGAGAGGGCUCAGCAAGGGAGUUGUGGCACAGAACCCACUGGAGGCUUGAUCGGGGGCUUCUAGCCCCUAGAAAGGAGGGCAGUUUCUGUUGCUGAUAAAUGAUCCAAGUGAAAUAUAGAAGGAGUAGACUCUAACAGCCAGAAUACCCAUCUCAAUUUAGAUCCUGAUAUGUCCUAAAUCUGACCCCAAAUCUUAAAAACACUUCCACAUAUUGAAAUAUUCUUUUCCUGAGUCACUGUAACAUGAGGGCCUAAUUGUUGGGGUUUCUGUCCUGCCCGGUACCCCCAACAAGCCAGCAAGCUUCAAAGAAAUUACGGAGGACUCCAUAAGAUUAUAAACUGAUUGGGCUCAUUAGCUCAGGUUUCUUAUUAGCUCUUAUCAGUUAUAUUAACCCAUUAUUCUGAUCUAUGUUAACCAUGUAGCUCAGUACCUUUCUCAGCUGGGCAGAUUACAUCUUGCUUCUCAGUGGUCUGGGC